GCCGACGUGGUGGAAUUGGUAGACACACUACCUUGAGGUGGUAGCGGCGAAAGCUAUGCGAGUUCGAGUCUCGCCGUCGGUACCA
rnacentral:tRNA from 3 species